GCCUUCGUGGUGUAAUGGUAGCACGCUCGACGAAUAUUCGAAAGGUCCAGGUUCGAGUCCUGGCAAGGGCG